rnacentral:rRNA from 1 species
GACGAACGCUGGCGGCGUGCUUAACACAUGCAAGUCGAACGGAAAGGCCCUGCUUUUGUGGGGUGCUCGAGUGGCGAACGGGUGAGUAACACGUGAGUAACCUGCCCUUGACUUUGGGAUAACUUCAGGAAACUGGGGCUAAUACCGGAUAGGAUCUCCUGCUGCAUGGUGGGGGCUGGAAAGUUUCGGCGGUUGGGGGUGGACUCGCGGCUUAUCAGCUUGUUGGUGGGGUAGUGGCUUACCAAGGCUUUGACGGGUAGCCGGCCUGAGAGGGUGACCGGCCACAUUGGGACUGAGAUGCGGCCCAGACUCCUACGGGAGGCAGCAGUGGGGAAUAUUGCACAAUGGGCGGAAGCCUGAUGCAGCAACGCCGCGUGCGGGAUGACGGCCUUCGGGUUGUAUACCGCUUUCGCCUGUGACGAAGCGUGAGUGACGGUAAUGGGUAAAGAAGCACCGGCUAACUACGUG